rnacentral:rRNA from 1 species
AGAGUUUGAUCCUGGCUCAGGACGAACGCUGGCGGCGUGCUUAACACAUGCAAGUCGAGCGGAAAGGCCCUUCGGGGUACUCGAGCGGCGAACGGGUGAGUAACACGUGAGCAACCUGCCCCCGACUCUGGGAUAAGCCCGGGAAACUGGGUCUAAUACCGGAUACGACACUCCUCGGCAUCGAGUGGGUGUGGAAAGUUUUUCGGUCGGGGAUGGGCUCGCGGCCUAUCAGCUUGUUGGUGGGGUAGUGGCCCACCAAGGCGACGACGGGUAGCCGGCCUGAGAGGGCGACCGGCCACACUGGGACUGAGACACGGCCCAGACUCCUACGGGAGGCAGCAGUGGGGAAUAUUGCACAAUGGGGGAAACCCUGAUGCAGCGACGCCGCGUGCGGGAUGACGGCCUUCGGGUUGUAAACCGCUUUCAGCAGGGACGAAGAUGACGGUACCUGCAGAAGAAGCGCCGGCUAACUACGUGCCAGCAGCCGCGGUAAUACGUAGGGCGCAAGCGUUGUCCGGAAUUAUUGGGCGUAAAGAGCUCGUAGGCGGUCUGUCGCGUCGGAUGUGAAAGCUCGAGGCUUAACCUCGGGUCUGCAUCCGAUACGGGCAGACUAGAGGCAGGUAGGGGAGAACGGAAUUCCCGGUGUAGCGGUGAAAUGCGCAGAUAUCGGGAGGAACACCGGUGGCGAAGGCGGUUCUCUGGGCCUGUACUGACGCUGAGGAGCGAAAGCGUGGGGAGCGAACAGGAUUAGAUACCCUGGUAGUCCACGCCGUAAACGUUGGGCGCUAGGUGUGGGGACCUUCCACGGUUUCCGCGCCGCAGCUAACGCAUUAAGCGCCCCGCCUGGGGAGUACGGCCGCAAGGCUAAAACUCAAAGGAAUUGACGG